rnacentral:tRNA from 1 species
GCCCAGGUGGCGGAAUAGGUAGACGCGCUGGUCUCAAACACCAGUGAGCUAACACUCGUGUCGGUUCGAGCCCGACCCUGGGUACCA